GCGAGGAAUAAUUUUCGUGUCAUUUGUCCUAAAAUUUCCAAUUAAUGAAUGGCGGGAUUGGGAAAAAAGAAAGGCGCGCGGGAGGGAAAAAAAAGGACAGAAGGGCGGCACCGUUUGGGUAUAAAAGGGGGAUCGAAUACUACUCCUACUCGCCUCUCUCUCUCUCUCUCUCUCUCUCUCUUCUCUUCUCUUAUGAAGUUGCAAAGAACGAUGACUUCUCAUAACCAACACUGACUUAUUUUUCGAUCGGAGCCUCAAGCAGCACAACUGGGUUACUUUCUAAUCCCUCUAGUCUGAGAUUUUAGGUACGGUGAUACGCAAAGAUGUCUACUAGAGGUGGAGGACGAGGAGGACGAGGAGGUCGUGGAAUGACAGGUCAUGGAAUCACUGCUCAUGGUGUGACUACAAGAUCAGUGCUUACUCCUGCUGUGCAAUUUUCGCCAAAUAAUGGUGCGACUACAAGAUCAGCGAUUACACCUGUUGUGCAAUCUAUGCCAAAUAAUGAUCCAGAGCAAAACUCAUCUGCCGCUCUACACAUAUCUGAGUCUGAGCAACCAAAUGAAUCCUUGACACUUGG